GACGAACGCUGGCGGCGUGCUUAACACAUGCAAGUCGAGCGGUAAGGCCCUUCGGGGUACACGAGCGGCGAACGGGUGAGUAACACGUGAGUAAUCUGCCCAUCACUUCGGGAUAACUCCGGGAAACCGGUGCUAAUACCGAAUAUGACCACUUCAGGCAUCUGAUGGUGGUGGAAAGUUCCGGCGGUGAUGGAUGGGCUCGCGGCCUAUCAGCUUGUUGGUGGGGUAGCGGCCUACCAAGGCUUCGACGGGUAGCCGGCCUGAGAGGGUGACCGGCCACACUGGUACUGAGACACGGCCCAGACUCGUACGGGAGGCAGCAGUGGGGAAUAUUGGACAAUGGGCGAAAGCCUGAUCCAGCAACGCCGCGUGAGGGAUGACGGCCUUCGGGUUGUAAACCUCUUUCAGCAGGGACGAAGCGCAAGUGACGGUACCUGCAGAAGAAGCACCGGCCAACUACGUG
rnacentral:rRNA from 1 species